UACGGAGGGAGCUAGCGUUGUUCGGAAAUACUGGGCGUAAAGCGCACGUAGGCGGCGCAGCAAGUCAGGGGUGAAAUCCCGGGGCUCAACCCCGGAACUGCCCUUGAAACUGCAGUGCUAGAAUUCUGGAGAGGCGAGUGGAAUUCCGAGUGUAGAGGUGAAAUUCGUAGAUAUUCGGAAGAACACCAGUGGCGAAGGCGACUCGCUGGACAGACAUUGACGCUGAGGUGCGAAAGCAUGGGGAGCAAACAGG
rnacentral:rRNA from 1 species